ACCAAAACACAUUAAAAUAGCCCCCCAAAAUGGCACUUUAUUAACUAGAAUUUAAAAAGUCUACAUUGUACUAUAUUAUACAUGGAUAGCUUGGGAGUCCAAAUAUAUUUUUACAUACUAACAAACUUUAUUCAAACUAGUGCAGGCCCCUCCUGGGGAUUUCAGUCCCCCUUGAAGGCCUUAAUUAGAAAUUCUGGCUACAUCACUGCUCAAUUCCUUUGCAAUGAUGGUGUUAGAGUAGGUUAACAAACUAGUGUGUAUUAUGAGAUAAUCCAUUGAACACCAAUGACCUAUCCCAACAUAUAAAAUCAUCUGGUGCAGUGGUGGAUCCAGCAAAGUUUUUUUGGGGGGUGCUAACCAAUGGCGAAACGAGCGCCGAAGGCGCGAGGUUUCUAGGGUGGUCCGGGCCGGGCAUAGUACCACAGAAAAUUUUUAAAAUUUGGGUCUCUGAAAUGGCAUUUCCAGCAUUCUGAGAAAACAUUUUGGAAAAUUUUUAGAUUCUCAAAACAUUUAAAAAAUUCAGAAUAUUUAAUAUUGGCUAUUCCACUAUUGUCAACUAGUGAUACCCAACUGAAUUCCUUAACAUAAGUUGGUUAGAAUUGGGAUAAACAUCAUUUUUGCACCCCCCCCCCCACAUGCACCCCUGUUGACCAGAGCCUGGGGGGGGGUGCACACCAGAGUAAAAUAAAAAGUAAGACACAAUGUGUAACUUAACAGGUAAGGUUAAUGGCCAGAACUAAAUGAUAAACAAUAUUUUAUAAUAAACCCAAAAUAGUUCAGCACCAUUGGUUCUUAUAACACUGUUCAUUCCAAUACUAGAACAUCAGCAAUUAACAAAAGUUGGAGUUUCA